AAAUAACACGUAAAAAAACAAAAAAACUGCAUAGUUUCCUAGGAACGCGAAGCGAGGCGGCCAUCUCUGUCGGCGCCGGAAUACAGAUAGAGUACAGAUAAAACUAAGAGUGACAUGCGCACACACAUGGAAAAAUGUCAACAGAUGAGUAAUAUUGUGUGUGUGUGUGGUGUGUUGUGUGUGUAUAGGUGUGCCAUCUCUCUCUCACCUCUGCAGGCUGCGGUCAGGGAAGAGUUAGGUUCCGUGGUUCUGAUGCAGACAGCUGUGGUCCGACAGCUUCCUCUUCCCCCUCCACUGCAGAUUACCUCCAGUUCAGAGACAUCCCACCACCCUCGCACGCAACAACAGUCCCACAGGGAGGGUUUCCACAGCGACUAUAACGAUGACAUACAGGGCUUCAUAUAACCUGCCACUGAAGUGUCCUCAAUCAAAAAUACCCACACACCCAGUUCCCUAUGCACACACCCAGUUCCCUAUGCCACCCACCCCAGUUCCCUAUGCACACACCCAGUUCCGAUCCCACACCCGUUCCGAUGCACACCCCAGUUCCCGAUGCACACACCCAGUUCCCGAUGCACACACCCAGUUCCCUAUGCACACACCCAGUUCCCGAUGCACACACCCAGUUCCCGAUGCACACACCCAGUUCCCGAUGCACACACCCAGUUCCCGAUGCACACACCUGUUCUAUGUUUCUGUUCUGUUGAUGUGUGUUUUGGAAUAGAUCAGCUCUAUUGUAACACUGAUGUGGUGAAAAUGAAUAUUUUUGUAUCCUUUGUAGAAUUGCCUGUUGUUUGUUUUGAUUAUUGUUAAUUAAAACAAAGUAUCAAGCUGUUUUGGGGUAAACUUUUAUUUUAUAUUAUAAUAAUAAAAAAGCUCAGUUCCAUUGUGGUUUUAGUUUGUAAAAACAUAUUUUUCUGUUCAAAUACCUGUUUGUUUUUUUCUUACCUCACUCCCACAAUCCUCUAACCCUAACCUUCACAAUCAGUUAUUUUUUAUCUACACCGGUCUAAUACCAUGUUAGCACCUGGUAUUACGGUAAUGUUCCAGUGUUCGCAGAGAUUACAUUCAUGGUAAACGCUGCAUUGUCGACGCAAUCAAAUGGCUUCUAACCCGUGAUGGAUUGAAUCCGGCCUUAUUCAGUUUGGCACGAUGUUAAGCACACUGCCGAUAGAAAUGCAAGGUGUACACAACCCUCUACUCCACAUGAUAGAGAAACAUGUCCAUUUCCAUCUGACGUGCCCUGCUGCAUCCUAUUACUACUGGACCAUGUCAGGUGUCAGGACCUUGUUCCAACUGGAUCCACAAUGACCCAACUUGUAUCUGAAACAGGGAUGUCUCUGCAUUGUCUGUUUGGGCCCUCCAAGACCUAUACCAGGCAACAGACAGUGACUACUCCAGGCCUCCAAGACCUAUACUUGACAACAGACAGUGAUUACUCCAGGGCCCUCCAAGACCUAUCCUUGACAACAGACAGUGAUUACUCCAGGGCCCUCCCAGACCUAUACCAGGCAAACACAGUGACUACUCCAGGGCCUUCCAAGACCUAUACUUGACAACAGACAGUGAUUACUCACAGGCCCUCCAAGACCUAUACUUGACACAGACAGUGACUACUCCAGGGCCCUCCAAAACCUAUCCUUGACAACAGACAGUGAUUACUCCAGGGCCCUCCAAGACCUAUACCAGGCAACAGACAGUGACUACUCCAGGGCCUUCCAAGACCUAUACCAGGCAACAGACAGUGAUUACUCCAGGCCUCCAAGACUAUACCAGGCAAAC
rnacentral:lncRNA from 1 species